UCCCGGGGAAGUUGUCCCGGGCUCCCGGGACCCUGGCCGUGCGGGCUGCACAGGCUCCCCGGAAGGGAGGUGUGGCUAGUGACCUGUGCUCGCACACAGGGUUCUUGGUGGCGGCAGCAGCAGCCUUAGCGUCUCAUGCCCGUCUCUGGGGUCCGUGCUUUUAGCCGCGGCUCGCGCCCGUCUCUGGAGCUCCUUUAAGCAGCGCUCUUAAUCCCCUCUCCUCGCGCACCGGGAAACAAAGAGGAAAAAAGAAAAGAGAAAAAAGAGGAAGAAAUGAGAGUGCUGAUGACAUCUCUGGUGUCUGGGAACAGAAGGGAGAAUCCAUCUGUUGGCAGGAAGAGAAAAAAGAAUGUACACAAGCUACAGUGGAGGGUGACUAUGGAAUUGGGAAGGAGUGAAAAAGGAAGUGACCUUUCUACUGGAUCAAAGGAAAAACCUGGAGGGCUGCCUACACCAUCCAUGGACACAGGAGCAAUAGCUUCAGACGGACUCUUCAACCAGCUCUCACAAUUUCAAAAGGUCAGAUCCCCAUAAUAAGAAUACCUAUCCUUUGUUAGUUAGCACUCCUAGUGUUUCUACUUCUCUGAUCAAACGAUGAUACAAAAUUUGGUACUAGAAAUGGCGCCAGAAGAACUGAAUCUGAAACUGAUCAUUUCUUCCAAUUCUGCAUCUUCUGGAAUUGAUUCUCUGCCUUGUUUAGAUUUAAAGACAUCACUGGCCCUAUUUCCAAUGGUAAAGUGGCCAAAGCAUGCAGUGGCAAAAAGCAUUUACUUAUUACCUGCAACCAAGUGCAUUUGGAAGGCAAAACUUUAGUGAGCAAGGAUGUGUUGGCAAAAUACAAAAAUCUCUGUGACUUACAAGCCACAAAGAUAUAUUUCUGGCUCAUAAUACUGGGGACCCUUUCAGAGGGGCUGCAGCUGCACUCCAGCUGUCUUUUCAUCUUGUACGACAGGCAGAAGGAGCAGUCCUGAUCUGGGGAAUGCCCCUCUCAUGGCAGAAGGGAUGAGAAAGAGUGCUGGUGGGAGCCCAUUCCCCUCAUGGUCUAGGCUCAAACAUACCUUUGAUCACCUGAAUUGAUAUUUUAUUAGGCAAAUAUGUCACAGCCAAACCUGAAGUCUAUGGGGCAGGAAUGCAUUAUCCUCUUUCAAAGAAUGGGGAAUAAAUAGUGGCCAACAGCAACAACCAUAGUCAUGUAUUAAAUAACUCUAAAUUGAGGUUGAUUAUUAUUUAUUAGGGUCCUGGAAGAUCAAACGCCAAAUUAUCUUAAAGCAUAGAAUAAAAAUACAGUGAGCUGAAAACUAGAGUGAGAGUAGGAAAUUUUUAAAAAUGGUAAUUCCAGAAGGAAAACAACAACAACAAUUAUGGAAGAGAGGUAUUACUGAAAUGAAUAUGAAAAUAAAAUUUCCUUGAAAUAAAAAAAAAAGUUCUAAUUUUGCACCAGGUGAAACUUAUGGAAAAAAGACACACUUCGGAAAAUUCUGAUAAAAUUUCUGACCCUAAGAACUGAUUUAAAAAAACUAACAAUUUUCCAAGCAGAGAUAAUAAAAUAACCCACCCCCCCCCCACAAAAAAAAAAUCAGGCCAUCAUCGCUAACAGAGAAGGCAAAGUAUAAAGGGCUGCUGUCUGAGUCCUGUACCAGCCAAGACCUCAUUCAUUGGUGAAAAUGAAAGAUAAUUGAAGUUAUGCAGGAAUUCUGAAAGUCUCAUUUAUAUCAAUAAAAAUAUGAAUCAGAAAAGAAACUUGAAAAUUGUAAUAAAGAGGAAAAUGUAAUUAGAAAAAUUGUUACCUAGGCUAUAUAACUAGUUACCUAGCUAACUAGCUAGAUAUAGUAAUAUAUAGCAAUAUGCAUGGUACAUUGAGCUGGUAGGUGUCUGUACAAUCAGACUUUCAGUUUAUAGAUGACUCCUCUGAAAGUUUGGUGUCCCAACUAAUUGGGCUGGUUUCUUUGCCAUAUAGAUCAUUACAUUUUUAAUAUCUCCCUUUCAAUAUAAUUCCUGGAAGUUUUUAAGAAGGACUUUUGAAACAGAAAGGACACACUGGCCUUGGUUUUUCUGUGGAGAUUAAGUGUAGCUUGGUGGGAAAAAAUAAUAUCUAUCUAAAUUUCAAUAAAUAGUAUAUUCAUAAAUGUCUAAUUAUAAGAAUAGUAAAUAAUCUUGACUGGAAAAUGUCAUUAGAAUUCCCAAUUAACAAGACAGACAUGAAAGGAACAGUAACCUGAUUAAUUGAGCAAAAAAUGGGGGAAAAAAAGAGAAAAUUAACAAUAUAUAAUGAAGGAAAAAAUAAAAUAAACUGGAAGGAAUGAGAUCAAGUUACCAGUUUUUAAGGUACAUACUAAUGAUAAUUUAAAAAUCUUGAGUUUAAGAAAAAAAUUUAAUCUGAAAUAAAAACUAUCUAGAAAGCAAGAAAAAGAACAUUAUGGAAGACUAUCUAAUAUCUAUGUAAUAGUCCCCUCUUUUCUUAGAGGGAAAUGAAUAGCCUUAAGUGCCUUUGAUAUUAAAGGAGAGAAGGAAUUAAAUAUACAUUAAAAAAUAGAAAAUAAAAAUGCAGGAUAUAGGAAUUAGUAGAGAUAAAUGUAAAUUGAUGAAAUAGAAAAAAUAAAAAACAUUGAAAAGACAAGUAAAUACAUCUAUUUGGGGGGAGGGGCCAGUUAAAUAUAUAAUCCCCUUGCAAGUCUGAUUAAAAAAUAAAAGUGGAUAGCCAAAAUAGAUAAUAUUAAGUAUGAGAAGAAACACAAAACCAGAAGGGAAGAUAGAAUAAAAAGAGAAUGCUCCUCGAACAAUACAAUUUGCCAAAAAUGAUGGAGUAGAAAACUGAAUAGAGCCAAUUACCAGAGAAGAGACUGGAAAGGUGAGACAUCAACAAUGAAAAAUGUAUCCAAACAAGAGCUUUCAGUCAAACAUUGUAUGAUCUUUAAAGAAGAGUUAAAUAAGUUUGAUAUUGUUUAAAUUGUGCAAGGCUAUUGAAAAUAAUAGAAUCCACUCUCAUUCUUUUGUGAAAUUAACAUUAUUUUGAUAUCAUUACUGUAAUAAAAUACUAGCUAUAUAUACUAUUUAUAUAAAUACUAUGAAAAAGAAUAUUAUGGACAAAUCUUAAUAAUGAAUAAAGAGGCAAAAAUUCUAAAUGAUAUAAUAACAAAUAGAAUUCAUCAAUGUAUCAAGAGAAUAACACACCAUUUCUAGUCAGGGUUUAUUUAAAGAAUUGAAGGGUCCUUUAUAUUAGGACAACUAUUAACAUAAUUUAUUAUAACCUGAUGAAGGGGAAAAAAAUGUUUAAUUACUAUUAAUAGACACUAAAAUUUAUUUUGAUAAAAUACAACAGUCAAUUCAAAUUAGAAUUCUAAAUAAAUUGAAACUGAAAGGAAAAUACGUAAGUGUAACAAAGGCUAUUUAUAAAAAAUGAUAGCAAAUCUUCCCAUAAACUGUAAAAGUUGAAAACAUUUCAUUGAAGAGAAAUGGAUGAGAAAAGGAUAUUCACGAUCACUAUGAUUAGUUAGUUCUUCAAGAUUUAAAUAUAAGCAGUAAGGUAAGAAAAUGAAAUUAGCAACAUAAGCAUUUGGUAAAUAAAGUUAUUUUUGCUGAGGAUAUAAUUGAAGAUGGAGAAAAGCAAAAGAUUUUUGUUUAAAAUUUUUAUAAUUAAUAUGAUUAUCUGGACACCUUCAUCAAUGGCUUUUUUUCUAAUCUAGACAUAGCUAGCACAGAUGGAAAUGGCAAAAACUGUUCAAUUUAAAACAAUAAAAUGCCAAAGAAUGAAAUUUAAUAAGAACACUAUAUUAUCUAGAGGAAGAAAAAAUAAAAUCUUACUAAACAACUGAAGAGCUUAACAUAUCACAUUUUCUUGGAUGGGAAGACUUAAUGUUACAGUGUAAUAUAUACAAUUUAUUUAUUUAUGGAGGGGGGAAAAUAGACUUAUUAGAUAUUAUAUAUACCAUAUUGUCACUUUAAUGAAAUAAAGAUGAGUGUAGGAUAUAGAUCAGUGUAGGAACAGACAAAUGGAUUAGUGAAACAGAAAUAGGAAAAAGAUCUCAGUUUGCAAGGCUUUAAUGCAGGACAAAGCAGUGGCUAACUCAGUGGGAAAAAGAUACAUUUUUAAACAAAUAAAACAGGUACCACUGGUCAACCAUCUGGAAAGAAAUAAAAAUACAACCUAUCUUACACCAUAUACGAAAAUAUACUCCAGAUACACCAAAUCCUUAUAUAAAAAAACAAGUGAACAAAUAAAAAGCUAUGAAAACUUCAAAAAUAAGACUAUGUGUACCUAGAAAUUAGUGGUUGGGUGACCACCAAAAUCAGUUCUGGAAGACUGGAAGGUAUUACAAAUAAAUAUAGUUAACUGCAUAUCAACAAAAAUUUUAUAUGGAGAAGUACAUAAAGUCAAUAGGCGAUGACCUGUAAAACUAUUUCUAAUCUGAUGACAUACAAAGAGUUAAUAUUUAUAAAGAAUGAGUUCUUACAAUUAGAAAACCAAACUGUUCAAUAGAAAUUGGAUAAAAACUAAAGAACUUACAGAAAAUUAAAACUUUAUAGAAAAUAAAUACACUAAAUAUGUUCAUAAUUUCUAGUAGUUUGAUAAAUGAAAAAAUAUGCAAAUUAAAACAACAGAAAAUGUAAUUACCUUAUAUCCGUUAGACUGGCAAAGAAAUAGAAGAAAAACACCUACAGAUAUCAGGAUUGUAGACAAAAACAUGCUUAUCUAUAGAUGGAGAAAAUAUGAAGUAUUACAGUCAUGUUAGAAAGAAAUUUGACAACGUCUAUUAAAAUUAAAAACACACAUGUCCUUUUAAUACAACAAUUUCAUUCCAGAUAUCUAUGCAGUGGAAAUAGAUACCAACAUAUAAGAGUCCAAGUGUUUAGGGUGCCUAAGGUGGCAUUGCUUAUCAUGGUCAAAACUAGAAACACUACAAAUGCCCAUCAAUAGCGAAAGGAAGCCAUUGAAAGCUAGUUUUCUGUUAUAGCUUUGAAAUUUUUUGUGUGUGUCUAAUGUUCAUGCAUGCUGAAAUAUUUAUCUAACAAUAGAAAUACACUCCUUCUGUGCAGUUAUGGAACUUGUAUAAAAAUGACUACAUAUGAGUCUCCAAAGUAAAUAUCCACAGAUUCAAAAGCAUCAGGCUGGUAUUCCAGUAUCCAAAAUACAAUAAAAUUGAAAAUCAACAACCAAAAGAUAGCCAGAAGAGUAACAACAGCAAGAAUAUCAAUAAUGGCAACAACAAUGAUAAAUCAUAAAUAAAGCAUGGAUUUAAUAUAACAUGAUAAAUAAAAGUAUAAAUAACUAGAUGGAGAUGAACAAGUUGGCGCUAUAGGAAGGUCCCGAGCUUCUCUCCUUACACGGACACACUGAAUGUGCAGCUGCACACAGAGAAAUUCCCUCUGAAAGAGGUUCAGAAACUAGCUAAGCACUAUAACACAUAGGGCAAAUGAGAAAAUACCCACAUAAUAACCACAUCAAAAAUGGGUAGGAAAGGCUGAGACACACUCUUGCCCUACCGAAACCAAAAGAAAGUUGAGGUAUCUUGAACUAUAUCAAACAGAAUAGGCAUUAAGCCAAAGACUACCAAAAAAUAAACGCCAUCCAAACUGGAAAGGAAGACAGAAAACUGUCACUGAAUGUAGAUGACAUAUUGUAUCUAGAAAACCCUAAAGACUCCAUGAAAAUACUGUUAGAACUAAUCGAUGAAUUCAAUGAAGUUGCAGGAUCCAAAAUGAAUAUAAAAAAUCAGUUGUCUUUCUAAACACUAACAACAAACUGUCAGAAAAAAAUUAAGAAAACAAUCCCAUUUACAACCACAUCAAAAAGAAUAAAAUAUUAUGAAUAAAUUUAGCCAAGGAGGUGAAAGCUCUAUACAUGGAACACUGAAAAACACUGAUGAAACAAACGAAAGAGAACAAAUGAAUAGAACGAUAUCCCAUGCUCAUAGAUUGGAAGAACUAAUAUUGUUAAAUACUGCAUGGUAUCACUUUUAUGUGGAAUCAAAAAAAAAUGUUGAACUUACAGACAGAGAAUAGAAAAGUGGUUUCCAGGGGAUGUGGGUAGGGAGGAGAUUAGGAGAGGCUGGUAAAAGUGUACAAACUUUGUGUUAUAGGAUGAAUAAGGUCUGAGGAUCUAAUGAGGAACAUAACUAUAGUUGAUAACACUAUUAUAGUAAAACUGAGAUUUACUAAAAAAGUAGAACUUAAAUGUUCUUAUACACACAAACAAAAUAAUUGAAAAUAUAAAGUAAUGGACAUGUUAAUUAACUCGAUGGGGGAAACCUUUGACAAUGUGCAUGUACAUCAAAUCAUCACGUUGUACAAACAUCUUACAUGUGAAGUUUAAACAUCACAUUGUUUAAACAUCUUAGUUAUUUUUGUCGAUUAUACUUUAAUAAAGUUGAAAAAAUAAAGUUAUAAAUAUCUAUAACAGAGAAACAAUGAAAGUGUAUAACCUUCUCUCACCUCUCCACCGCCUGAUUUUGUAUAGAAUUGUUCAUAUUGCAAUAAUUUGAUAAUAAUAUUACAACACUACCAUAAUAUUGUAAUGUAAAAUAAAUUUUGUGUUCAAAUUAAUAUAUUAUUACUCGUGACGAUAAAAUUAAAAUUCAACCAAUAAAAGAUAGCCAACAGGGCUUCCCUGGUGGCGCAGUGGUUGAGAGUCCACCUGCCGAUGCAGGGGACACAGGUUCGUGCCCCGGU